GUUGCAAAUUACUUGAGCACUGGCAGCC
rnacentral:piRNA from 1 species